ACCUCUGUAGCUCAGUUGGUUAAAGCACUGCACCGGAAUCGCAGGGCCGCAGGUUUGAUUCCUGCCAGAGGAC
rnacentral:tRNA from 1 species